rnacentral:rRNA from 1 species
UACAGAGGGGGCAAGCGUUAUUCGGAAUUAUUGGGCGUAAAGGGCGCGUAGGCGGCCUUGCAAGUGGCGGGUGAAAUCCCUCGGCUUAACCGAGGAACUGCCUGCCAGACUGCAAGGCUCGAGGGCAGGAGAGGUUGAUGGAAUUCUGUGUGGAGCGGUGAAAUGCGUUGAUCUACAGAGGAACACCAAAAAAGGCGAAGGCAGUCAACUAUUCUGUUCCUGACAUUGAGGCAUGAAAGCGUGGGGAGCAAACCGG